rnacentral:rRNA from 1 species
CCCGCCGGCGACCGGCGCACGGGUGAGUAACACGUAUGAAACCUGCCCGUAGCAGGGGGAUAAGCGGAAGAAAUUCCGCCUAAUACCGCGUAACAACCCAUGGAGGCAUCUCUGUGGGUUUAAAGGAAGCGAUUCCGGCUACGGAUGGUCAUGCGUCGCAUUAGCUUGUUGGCGGGGUAACGGCCCACCAAGGCGACGAUGCGUAGGGGUUCUAAGAGGAAGGUCCCCCACACUGGUACUGAGACACGGACCAGACUCCUACGGAAGGCAGCAG